rnacentral:rRNA from 1 species
GGGGAAUCUUCCGCAAUGGACGAAAGUCUGACGGAGCAACGCCGCGUGAGUGAUGACGGCCUUCGGGUUGUAAAGCUCUGUGAUCGGGGACGAAUGGCUGGUAUGCUAAUACCAUAUCAGAGUGACGGUACCCGAAUAGCAAGCCACGGCUAACUACGUGCCAGCAGCCGCGGUAAUACGUAGGUGGCAAGCGUUGUCCGGAAUUAUUGGGCGUAAAGCGCGCGCAGGCGGCUUCUUAAGUCCAUCUUAAAAGUGCGGGGCUUAACCCCGUGAUGGGAUGGAAACUGGGAGGCUGGAGUAUCGGAGAGGAAAGUGGAAUUCCUAGUGUAGCGGUGAAAUGCGUAGAGAUUAGGAAGAACACCGGUGGCGAAGGCGACUUUCUGGACGACAACUGACGCUGAGGCGCGAAAGCGUGGGGAGCAAACA